GACGAACGCUGGCGGCGUGCUUAACACAUGCAAGUCGAGCGGUAAGGCCUUUCGGGGUACACGAGCGGCGAACGGGUGAGUAACACGUGGGUGAUCUGCCCUGCACUUCGGGAUAAGCCUGGGAAACUGGGUCUAAUACCGGAUAUGACCUCCUAUCGCAUGGUGGGUGGUGGAAAGAUUUAUCGGUGCAGGAUGGGCCCGCGGCCUAUCAGCUUGUUGGUGGGGUAAUGGCCUACCAAGGCGACGACGGGUAGCCGACCUGAGAGGGUGACCGGCCACACUGGGACUGAGAGACGGCCCAGACUCCUACGGGAGGCAGCAGUGGGGAAUAUUGCACAAUGGGCGAAAGCCUGAUGCAGCGACGCCGCGUGAGGGAUGACGGCCUUCGGGUUGUAAACCUCUUUCAGCAGGGACGAAGCGCAAGUGACGGUACCUGCAGAAGAAGCACCGGCUAACUACGUG
rnacentral:rRNA from 1 species